rnacentral:rRNA from 1 species
UAGUCCACGCCGUAAACGAUGAGCACUAGGUGUCGGGGUCGUAGGAUUUCGGUGCCGCAGUUAACGCAUUAAGUGCUCCGCCUGGGGAGUACGCACGCAAGUGUGAAACUCAAAGGAAUUGACGGGGACCCGCACAAGCAGCGGAGCAUGUGGUUUAAUUCGAAGCAACGCGAAGAACCUUACCAGGACUUGACAUCCCUCUGACAGGACCUUAACCGGUCCCUUCUUCGGACAGAGGUGAC